CGCCACCCUCUCUCCCAAGCUAGACGAAGCCCAUCUCAUAGUUCUUGAGCAUCGACCAAGAGGGCAUUUCGACCUUGCCCCAUCCCAACAAACCCCAGUAGCCACUUGUGUAACGCCCCAAUUUCUCAACCGGGGAUCACAUUAGUAACCCAACAAAUAUGGAGACUAACUCAAGUUUCUUUUUUUUCAAAGAGGUGAUAAAUUUCGAAACACAAAAGGCCCAUUGUCACCCAAGCAAUGGCCAAAGAAGUUCCCAGGUAAGUUGGCCGGGCACAAUGUCUCAUUGAAAGCACUCCUUACCUAGACAGAACAACUCGAACUCUUACUCGAACUCAAACGGGGUUUUCAAUAUCAUUUUCAAAACAUUUUCAAAAUCGAUUCAAUUAGCCUUUAAGUUCAAAAUCUAUUGAUUACUUUUAUAUUUAUCAACUUUUCAAAACUUUAUCAUUUGAUUUCCUUUAAAUCAUUAACCGAUAAUCGAUAUCUAAAUUUAAACGUCGGUUAUUACGAUAACAAUAAUAUAAAUAAUAUCCCGAUAAAAUUCCUAGUUAAACCACUAGCGUACUCAAAAUCCAACAUAAUAUCGACAUACGAAAAUAAGGUAUAAAAUUAUUUAAUAAAGCUCGCUUUGCACGCUUCCCAUCUUUGUCGCCUCAAAGUCUCGUCACCUAGCACAAGUCGUCACCCAUCCACUCUUGUCAUCAAGAACAAUCAAAUUUCACCACUAAAUGACUCGUCAUCUAAAGCGUUAAGCGCCCAAGUAGACAAGUAGCAAACAUUAAAGGUUAGCUCCGAAAAACAAAACAACCAAAACAUG
rnacentral:lncRNA from 1 species